rnacentral:rRNA from 1 species
UCGAGAAUCUUCCGCAAUGCGCGCAAGCGUGACGGAGCGACGCCGCGUGGGGGAUGAAGGCCUUCGGGUUGUAAACCCCUGUCACCUGGGAAGAAAGGCGGGUAGUUAAUAGCUGUCCCGCUUGACGUUACCAGGAGAGGAAGCACCGGCUAAAUACGUGCCAGCAGCCGCGGUAAUACGUAUGGUGCUAACGUUGUUCGGAAUCACUGGGCUUAAAGAGCACGUAGGCGGUUGAGAUAGUCUGAUGUGAAAUCCCCCGGCUCAACCGGGGAACUGCAUUAGAUACUUCUUGACUAGAGUGCAGGAGGGGAGAGUGGAAUUCCUGGUGGAGCGGUGAAAUGCGUAGAUAUCAGGAGGAACGCCGGUGGCGAAAGCGGCUCUCUGGCCUGCUACUGACGCUGAGGUGCGAAAGCUAGGGGAGCGAACGGGAUUAGAUACCCCUGUAGUCC